UGUUGCUUGUACAUGUACUGUGAUAUUAUAUAUAAAAUAAAUUUGAAAAACUUGAUUGCAUGAUUUUGAGUAAACUGCAAUUACUGGUAUUUACUAGUCUCGCGCAGCCAAACCAUUCCCCAGCCUACAGUCAUUUACUGGGGAAUGGUCUGGCUGCGCAAGACUAUAGCCAGAUCCUUCAACUGCUGCUGCAAUUGGAGGAGAAGUAAUAGAGACAAGAGAAGAUGUGACCAUAUAAAAAAAGAAACCAACUUAUAACUCAUCUAUUGAAAAUUUUAUAUUGAAGUUACCUGGUGUCAACUUUAAGAACUACAGAUACAUAAUGAAUGAAGUAAAGGACAUGCAAGAGUUGUCAGUUUAAGUGAGAAAGAACUAGAGGAGAUAUUAGGGAAUGAUACUCAACUACACUGUAAAAACAAAAAGUUAGAAUAACCCCUGCUUGGUUACUUUCACCAGUUAAUUUUAAUCUGAGGAG